rfam:Mycoplasma sp. (ex Biomphalaria glabrata), complete genome.
GGGGUUAUAGCUCAGUAGGUAGAGCAAUUGCCUUGCAAGCAAUAGGUCGCCGGUUCGAUUCCGGUUGACUCCA